rnacentral:tRNA from 1 species
GGUCUGGUAGCUCAGCUGGAUAGAGCAACUGCCUUCUAAGCAGUAGGUCAUGCGUUCGAAUCGCAUCCGGAUCACUA